rnacentral:rRNA from 1 species
CCGACGGUGAGAGGCGAAAGCUGGGGGAGCAAACCGGAUUAGAUACCCGGGUAGUCCCAGCUGUAAACGAUGCGCGUUAGGUGUGUCAGUGACCACGUGUCACUGAUGUGCCGAAGGGAAACCGUGAAACGCGCCGCCUGGGGAGUACGGUUGCAAGGCUGAAACUUAAAGGAAUUGGCGUGGGAGCACCACAACGGGUGGAGCCUGCGGUUUAAUCGGACUCAACGCCGGAAAUCUCACCGGAUAA